GCCGGGAUAGCUCAGCUGGGAGAGCAACAGACUGAAGAGUUGUGUGAAUUCUGGAGGUCGCGUGUUCAAUCCACGCUCCUGGCA